AUUUUGUUCAUUCGAUCCUCAAUUUGCUAUAUAUACACACACAGCUGCUCCUCCUCAGCAUUGCCUACUUUUCAAAAUAUGUUCGCAGCAGCUCCAUAACUAUUUUGUUGCAAAAAUUCAAUGCAACAAAUGGAUGUUGCAGGGAACACUUUGAUGGGCAGCGUGUUGAAUAUGGCUUUUAUUUUUACCUCCUCUUCGUCUACUAUGUGUUUUAUGUGGUCGAUCACAAUUUAUAUCUUUUUUAAUAUUUCAACAAAUGUAAUUUCCUUGAUUAAAAAUUCAAAAUUGCACUGGUUAUACCUACCCCGACCGUUUUCAAGUACAAAGAGAAGCUGAUAUGCGCUUUUCUUUGUUUUCUUGAUGAUGGGAAGUACUUCAAGCAUAACAAUGGAAACAACUCCAUCAUCAAUUCUUGAAGGGGACCAUGAUUGGAAAAACCAAUAAUAUCUUGGAGAUGCACGCUCAAAGUGAUGAUAUUUGAGUGAUCAGGAUGCAAUCCAUGAUACUACUAUGCCAAUCAGAGCAAAUGAGCAGAAUAUGGAGAAAUAAAUGGAAUAAUCGACAACUUUCAAAUUCCUAUUUGAACUGCCUGGAGGAACAAAAACGCCGCACCAUGUUCGCAUAUGCUCCCAAACUUGACGUUGUUGUUUAGUUUGUUGAAAAGGAAAAUGAGAGAAUUUAUCAACCGUAAUAAUUGUCCUUCCAGAUAUAGCCGUUUUCGUUAUCUGUACGGAAAAAUAAAAUUACAAUAUGAUUUCAUGUAGUAUGUAUUUUUAGUCCCAGUUAGUCAUAGGGAUCAAAAUUAACUAUAAAAUUCAUAGAAUUGG